rnacentral:rRNA from 1 species
UACGGGGGGAGCAAGCGUUGUUCGGAUUUACUGGGCGUAAAGGGCGCGUAGGCGGUCAGCACAAGUCAGUUGUGAAAUCUCCGGGCUUAACUCGGAAAGGUCAACUGAUACUGUGCGACUAGAGUGCGGAAGGGGCAACUGGAAUUCUCGGUGUAGCGGUGAAAUGCGUAGAUAUCGGGAGGAACACCUGUGGCGAAAGCGGCUCACUGGACCACAACUGACGCUGAGGAGCGAAAGCGUGGGGAGCGAACAGG